UUGCUGCUUGAGCUCGCUUGCGAUUCUCUCCGGUGAUCGGUCAGUGCACCAAAUACCACUGGUGUCUGAUCUUCAUCUGUUUUCCGGCGAUAGAAUGGGACCUGGAGGACCCGGCGGGCCUGGAGGAGGGGGUUUCGGCGGGCCUGGAGGAGGACCCGGUUUCGGCGGGCCAGGAGGACCAGGGUUCGGUGGACCUGGUUUCGGAGGUCCGGGUUUCGGUGGACCCGGGUGGGGUCCUGGCCCCGGAGGACCGUGGGGUCCGGGGCCGGGAUUCGGAGGUCCGUGGGGACCUGGCGGUGGCUUCUUCGGACCUGGUGGUGGCUUCUUCGGACCUGGUGGAGGCUUCUUCGGUGGGUUCUUUAAUGGCAUAUGCAGCAUGGUAUCUUCUUGGUGAGCAUUGUCUUCCUUUUGCUUGGUCUACCAUAUCCAGUACAGUUGAAGCUUCUUAUGGACGUAUAGUUUUCUUUUUGGCCGAAUCUAUCUUAUGCGAUUGAAAUAUGCGUUGUCCUGUUGAUUUUAUCUUGACAAAAGUAGAAUUCGAACAUGUUCGUAGUUCAAGAAGAGCAUAUAGGACUAGCAGUACACCUCUUGCUAGAAAACUGAUGGCAACG
rnacentral:lncRNA from 1 species